GGGCUGCAGCGGCUCCAUCCAAGCCUCCUUGGCCCUGGAAGCCGGCGUGUCCAUGUUGCCCACGUUCUGGACUGCCUGGAGGUGACAGCAGGAAGGACCAGGUUCUGCUAGGUUUAGCUGACGCUGCUGCACUGGAUACCCCACCCCGGUGCCGGGCACAUAGGUGCAGCCUGAGAGUAAGCAGACCCGGGUUGGAAGGUCCCGCGAUUCACCACCGACAGGAUGGGCGGCCUUGGCAACCCCCGACCCCUCGCAGGCCUGUUCCCUUAUCCAUGAGAUGGAGCUCGGACAAGGUGGCCACAGGAAGGCUUUGCAAACUGUGAAGUGCAGUGCCUACGUGGGCGUGCCAGUGGCCUCGCCGGAGCCGGUAGGGAACACUCUGCAGUCCAGGCCAGGGCCCCGGUAGGACACCCAGCUGUGCAUCCCGCCCGUGGCCGCAAGGCCCGCACCUUGGCCAACAGGAGCAGGGUGCGGCUGGUGCGGGCGUCCGCGUGGCGCUCUCGCAGGUGGAAGAGCUUGGGCGACAUGAUGGCGGGAGAGAAGAAGCGCAGGCACAGGAAGCUGGUGACGGCGAUGAACGGUACAUUCUGGAGGGGUGCGGAAGAGCGCGGGCUGGAGUCCCCCAGACCAGGGCUCCUGGCAGCCCCCUCCCCUUAGGCUCCGUCCCUGACCCUCGCCGGGACACAGCCUCCCUGGUCCUCCCCAGCGCUCCCUGGUUCCCCACCGCUCUUCGCCCCUCGCCGGGACACAGCCUCCCUGGUCCUCCCCAGCGCUCCCUGGUUCCCCACCGCUCUUCGCCCCUCGCCCCAGCCCAGUCCAACCCGGCCCAGCCUAGCCCAGCGGGUGGAGGGCGCACCUCGUGCUGGGCGCCGGGGAAGCGCUCGCGCACGCGCCGGAAGAGCUGGCGGAAGGUGGCGCGCACCACGGCGGGGCACGCGCGAACCGAGCGGCUGAGCGCGCUCAGCAGGGCCCCCAGGUGGGCGCGCAGCGUCUGCGCGCUCUGCUCCAGCACCUCGGCCUCGGUCUGCGGGCGGUGCAGCCCGGAGCACCUGCGUGGAACGGGGCGGGUUGGCAGAGGAGGUCGCGGUCAGCGCCAGGGCCACGACAGGAACAGUGGCUCUCACAGCAGCCAGGACACGGACACAGGGGACAAUACACGGGUGGGCAGAAGCACAAACACACAUGCUGACAGGGCCUGAUCCCAACCCGCUGCCGCUGCGCCCCGCACCCCCCCGGAGUUACCCCCGGCCUCACCCUACAUCCUUAACUUCCACUUUGCUGGGGUCCAGCUCCACGUACUUCUUCUCCUCAAACACCUUGUUGAUGAUGGGGCCCAGGACGCCGUGCAGGUACUGCAUCCCGGCCACCUGAGGACCACCGCAGGUCACACUGAUCCUGUCUCCCCCAGUCCCACUCCAGCUGCCCACCUUCUCCCGGCAGCCGCCCUUGCACCGUUUGCCUGCCGUAUCCGCCCAGGAGGGGGCCAGGUACACAUGCAGGGCAAACUGUUUAUUCAUGAAUGAAUGAAUGAGUGAGUGAAUGAAUGACUAGAAUUCUUAGCCCUUGUAAUCCUAGCACUUUGGGAGGCCAAGGCAGGAGGAUCACUUGAGGCCAGGAGUUUGAGACCAGCCUGGGCAACAUAGUGAGACUGUCUCUAACUUAAAUUUUAAUCACACACACAUUCUUUUUGGGGGGGGGUUGCGGGGCACGGAGUCUAGCACGGGGCCCAGGCUAGAGUGCAGUGGCGUGAGCUCACUACAACCUCUGGCUUCUGGUUCAAGUGAGUCUCCUGCCUCAGCCUCCCCAGUAGCUGGGAUUACAGGUGCCCACCACCAUGCCAGGCUAAUUUUUGUAUUUUUAGUAGAGGUGGGGUUUCGCCAUGUUGGCCAGGCUGGUCUCGAACUCCUGACCUUAAGUGAUCCGCCCGCCUCAGCCUCCCAAAGUGCUGGAAUUACAGGCAUGAGCCACUAUGCCCAGCCCACAUUCUUAACCUUAAAGGGCUCUGAAUAUGGAGAUAGAACACUGGAGUCGAAGUCCCAGCCCCCUCUGUCUCUCUCUCUGAAGCUCAGUGUUGUCAUUUGCAAGAUGAGGACAAUAUAGCAUGCAACCUCACCUUCAGAAAAGACUCCAUGGACUUUGAGGCCAGAGAGUUGCUCCGGAACAGGGUGUUGGUCUCACCUACAAACAGAGGUCCCAGUGGGUAGGGGGCUGGGACAAAGCUUUUGGGGGAGGGGGAGGACAGAGGACCUUGGGGCUGGGGGAUCUAAGCUGGCCCCUCAAUAAAGGGCCUCCUCGCCACCUCCCAGCCCACUGUCCCACCUCUGCC